GCCCUUUUAACUCAGUGGUAGAGUAACGCCAUGGUAAG
rnacentral:tRNA from 1 species